rnacentral:rRNA from 1 species
AGAGUUUGAUCCUGGCUCAGAACGAACGCUGGCGGCAGGCCUAACACAUGCAAGUCGAGCGCACCUUCGGGUGAGCGGCGGACGGGUUAGUAACGCGUGGGAACAUACCCUUUUCUACGGAAUAGCCUCGGGAAACUGAGAGUAAUACCGUAUAAGCCCUUCGGGGGAAAGAUUUAUCGGGAAAGGAUUGGCCCGCGUUAGAUUAGAUAGUUGGUGGGGUAAUGGCCUACCAAGUCUACGAUCUAUAGCUGGUUUUAGAGGAUGAUCAGCAACACUGGGACUGAGACACGGCCCAGACUCCUACGGGAGGCAGCAGUGGGGAAUCUUAGACAAUGGGCGCAAGCCUGAUCUAGCCAUGCCGCGUGUGUGAUGAAGGUCUUAGGAUCGUAAAGCACUUUCGCCAGGGAUGAUAAUGACAGUACCUGGUAAAGAAACCCCGGCUAACUCCGUGCCAGCAGCCGCGGUAAUACGGAGGGGGUUAGCGUUGUUCGGAAUUACUGGGCGUAAAGCGUACGUAGGCGGAUUGGAAAGUUGGGGGUGAAAUCCCAGGGCUCAACCCUGGAACUGCCUCCAAAACUAUCAGUCUAGAGUUCGAGAGAGGUGAGUGGAAUUCCAAGUGUAGAGGUGAAAUUCGUAGAUAUUUGGAGGAACACCAGUGGCGAAGGCGGCUCACUGGCUCGAUACUGACGCUGAGGUACGAAAGUGUGGGGAGCAAACAGGAUUAGAUACCCUGGUAGUCCACACCGUAAACGAUGAAUGCCAGUCGUCGGGCAGUAUACUGUUCGGUGACACACCUAACGGAUUAAGCAUUCCGCCUGGGGAGUACGGUCGCAAGAUUAAAACUCAAAUGAAUUGACGG